GACGAACGCUGGCGGCGUGCCUAACACAUGCAAGUCGAACGGAACUCGGAGCUUCGGUUUUGAGUUUAGUGGCGAACGGGUGAGUAACGCGUGAGGAACCUGCCUUUCAGUGGGGGACAACAGUUGGAAACGACUGCUAAUACCGCAUAAUGUAUCGAGGGGGCAUCCCCUUGAUACCAAAGCUUUAUGUGCUGAAAGAUGGCCUCGCGUCUGAUUAGAUAGUUGGUGAGGUAACGGCUCACCAAGUCUGCGAUCAGUAGCCGGUCUGAGAGGAUGAACGGCCACAUUGGGACUGAGAUACGGCCCAGACUCCUACGGGAGGCAGCAGUGGGGAAUAUUGGGCAAUGGGGGAAACCCUGACCCAGCAACGCCGCGUGAAGGAAGAAGGCCUUCGGGUUGUAAACUUCUUUUAGCAGGGACGAAGAACGUGACGGUACCUGCAGAAAAAGCAACGGCUAACUACGUG
rnacentral:rRNA from 1 species